rnacentral:SRP_RNA from 1 species
GCCGGGUGUAGUGUCGGGCGCCUGUAGUCCCAGCUACCCGGGAGGCUGAGGCAGGUGGAUUGCCUGAGCUCAGGAGUUCGGGACCAGCCUGGGCAACACGGUGAAACCCUGUCUCUA